GACGAACGCUGGCGGCGUGCUUAACACAUGCAAGUCGAGCGGCGCGGCGAACGGGGGAGUAACGCGUGAGUAACUGCCCCCCUCUCUGGGAUAACAGUUGGAAACGGCUGCUAAUACCGGCUAGUGGGGGAUGACUCGCGUCGUAUCAGCUUGUUGGUGGGGUAGUGGCCUACCAAGGCGACGACGGGUAGCCGGCCGGAGGGGGCGACCGGCCCCAUGGGGCUGAGAGACGGACCAGACGCCUACGGGAGGCAGCAGGGGGGAAUAUUGCACAAUGGGGGAAACCGUGAUGCAGCAACGCCGCGUGCGGGAUGACGGCCUUCGGGUGGGAAACCGCUUUCAGCUAUGACGCGGUAGUGGCAGAAGAAGCACCGGCUAACUACGUGCCAGCAGCCGCGGUAAUAC
rnacentral:rRNA from 1 species